AACGAACGCUGGCGGCAGGCCUAACACAUGCAAGUCGAACGCUGUAGCAAUUCAGAGUGGCAGACGGGUGAGUAACACGUGGGAAUCUUCCUAUCGGUACGGAAUAGCUCAGGGAAACUUGGGGUAAUACCGCAUACGCCCUUCGGGGGAAAGAUUUAUCGCCGAUAGAUGAGCCCGCGUCUGAUUAGCUAGUUGGUGAGGUAAUGGCUCACCAAGGCGACGAUCAGUAGCUGGUCUGAGAGGAUGACCAGCCACACUGGGACUGAGACACGGCCCAGACUCCUACGGGAGGCAGCAGUGGGGAAUAUUGGACAAUGGGCGCAAGCCUGACGCAGCCAUGCCACGUGAAUGAUGAAGGUCUUAGGAUUGUAAAAUUCUUUCACCGGGGACGAUAAUGACGGUACCCGGAGAAGAAGCCCCGGCUAACUUCGUGCCAGCAGCCGCAGUAACAC
rnacentral:rRNA from 1 species